rnacentral:rRNA from 1 species
GACGAACGCUGGCGGCGUGCUUAACACAUGCAAGUCGAACGGAGUGGCUAACGGGUGAGUAACACGUGGGUGACCUGCCCUGCACUUCGGGAUAAGCCUGGGAAACUGGGUCUAAUACCUGCUAGUGUGGGAUGGGCCCGCGGCCUAUCAGCUUGUUGGUGGGGUAAUGGACUACCAAGGCGGCGACGGGUAGCCGGCCUGCGAGGGUGGACGGCCACAGUGGGACUGAGGCACGGGCCAGACGCAUACGGGAGGCAGCAGUGGGGAAUAUUGCAUAAUGUGCGGAAGGCGGAUGCAGCGACGCCGCGUGGGGGAUGACGGCCUUCGGGUUGUAAACGCCUUUCACCAUAGACGCGGUAGAUGGAGAAGAAGCACCGGCUAACUACGUGCCAGCCGCCGCGGUAAUAC